rnacentral:rRNA from 1 species
UACGUAGGGGGCAAGCGUUGACCGGAUUUAUUGGGCGUAAAGAGCGUGUAGGCGGUUAGGUAGGUCCGUUGUGAAAACUCGAGGCUCAACCUCGAGACGCCGAUGGAAACCAUCUAACUAGAGUCCGGAAGAGGAGAGUGGAAUUCCUGGUGUAGCGGUGAAAUGCGCAGAUAUCAGGAAGAACACCCGUGGCUAAGGCGGCUCUCUAGUACGGUACUGACGCUGAGACGCGAAAGCGUGGGGAGCGAACAGG